rnacentral:rRNA from 1 species
UUGAACGCUGGCGGCAGGCCUAACACAUGCAAGUCGAACGGUAACAGGAAGCAGCUUGCUGCUUCGCUGACGAGUGGCGGACGGGUGAGUAAUGUCUGGGAAACUGCCUGAUGGAGGGGGAUAACUACUGGAAACGGUAGCUAAUACCGCAUAACGUCGCAAGACCAAAGAGGGGGACCUUCGGGCCUCUUGCCAUCGGAUGUGCCCAGAUGGGAUUAGCUAGUAGGUGGGGUAACGGCUCACCUAGGCGACGAUCCCUAGCUGGUCUGAGAGGAUGACCAGCCACACUGGAACUGAGACACGGUCCAGACUCCUACGGGAGGCAGCAGUGGGGAAUAUUGCACAAUGGGCGCAAGCCUGAUGCAGCCAUGCCGCGUGUAUGAAGAAGGCCUUCGGGUUGUAAAGUACUUUCAGCGGGGAGGAAGGGAGUAAAGUUAAUACCUUUGCUCAUUGACGUUACCCGCAGAAGAAGCACCGGCUAACUCCGUGCCAGCAGCCGCGGUAAUACGGAGGGUGCAAGCGUUAAUCGGAAUUACUGGGCGUAAAGCGCACGCAGGCGGUUUGUUAAGUCAGAUGUGAAAUCCCCGGGCUCAACCUGGGAACUGCAUCUGAUACUGGCAAGCUUGAGUCUCGUAGAGGGGGGUAGAAUUCCAGGUGUAGCGGUGAAAUGCGUAGAGAUCUGGAGGAAUACCGGUGGCGAAGGCGGCCCCCUGGACGAAGACUGACGCUCAGGUGCGAAAGCGUGGGGAGCAAACAGGAUUGGAUACCCUGGUAGUCCACGCCGUAAACGAUGUCGACUUGGAGGUUGUGCCCUUGAGGCGUGGCUUCCGGAGCUAACGCGUUAAGUCGACCGCCUGGGGAGUACGGCCGCAAGGUUAAAACUCAAAUGAAUUGACGGGGGCCCGCACAAGCGGUGGAGCAUGUGGUUUAAUUCGAUGCAACGCGAAGAACCUUACCUGGUCUUGACAUCCACGGAAGUUUUCAGAGAUGAGAAUGUGCCUUCGGGAACCGUGAGACAGGUGCUGCAUGGCUGUCGUCAGCUCGUGUUGUGAAAUGUUGGGUUAAGUCCCGCAACGAGCGCAACCCUUAUCCUUUGUUGCCAGCGGUCCGGCCGGGAACUCAAAGGAGACUGCCAGUGAUAAACUGGAGGAAGGUGGGGAUGACGUCAAGUCAUCAUGGCCCUUACGACCAGGGCUACACACGUGCUACAAUGGCGCAUACAAAGAGAAGCGACCUCGCGAGAGCAAGCGGACCUCAUAAAGUGCGUCGUAGUCCGGAUUGGAGUCUGCAACUCGACUCCAUGAAGUCGGAAUCGCUAGUAAUCGUGGAUCAGAAUGCCACGGUGAAUACGUUCCCGGGCCUUGUACACACCGCCCGUCACACCAUGGGAGUGGGUUGCAAAAGAAGUAGGUAGCUUAACCUUCGGGAGGGCGCUUACCACUUUGUGAUUCAUGACUGGGGUG